AGAGUUUGAUCCUGGCUCAGGACGAACGCUGGCGGCGUGCUUAACACAUGCAAGUCGAACGGACUGCUUCAAGCUUGCUUGGGGUGGUGAGUGGCGAACGGGUGAGUAACACGUGAGUAACCUGCCCUCUUCUUUGGGAUAACGGCCGGAAACGGCUGCUAAUACCGGGUAUUCACUGGUCCUCGCAUGGGGGUUGGUGGAAAGGGGCCUCGUUUGGGGUUUCUGGUGGGGGAUGGGCUCGCGGCUUAUCAGCUUGUUGGUGGGGUAAAGGCCUACCAAGGCGACGAUCUGUAGCGGGUCUGAGAGGAUGAUCCGCCACACUGGGACUGAGACACGGCCCAGACUCCUACGGGAGGCAGCAGUGGGGAAUAUUGGACAAUGGGGGGAACCCUGAUCCAGCCAUGCCGCGUGUGUGAAGAAGGCCUUUUGGUUGUAAAGCACUUUAAGCGAGGAGGAGGAGCUCUAGAUUAAUACUCUAGAUGCUUGGACGUUACUCGCAGAAUAAGCACCGGCUAACUCUGUGCCAGCAGCCGCGGUAAUA
rnacentral:rRNA from 1 species